CGCAUUCUCGAUGAUGUGGAUCCUCGACAACCUCGUUGAGUCCGGCAGUGCGUUCUCAAGUUUCGGCCAAGUUGAUGGCCUCUUCUUGGCUUACAGCUAGAGGUCUAUGGCAGAGGUGUUGUAGUUUGGCCCAGUGGAGGAGGCUGCGAGGGAAAUCACCGAGUCAACUACUGAGUGAGUUAUUAGAUCUGACAUCUAAAGAAUACAAAUAGCAGCUGACGACCAUGAGAUGCUGGCCUCCUCAUUGUUCUUGUUGUCAGGCCAAUACUAACUCAUUGUUCUUGCGGUCAGGCUACUACUAACUGUUUGUUGAGUAGUUCACUUGUGCCAGCAAGACGCCAUUGAUUUGCUUAUAUCCAGUCGUGCUAUUAAGUUACUGAUGAAGCAAGAUCUCAGUCUCCUUUUAGUGCCACUGCGGAGCUCACGUGAUGAUGAUGGUAUU